GGGCCCGUGGUUUAGCUUGGAUAGAAUACAGGGCUUCGGACCCUGUGGUCGGGGGUUCAAAUCCCUCCGGGCUCGUCA
rnacentral:tRNA from 3 species